UACAGAGACUGCAAGCGUUGUUCGGAUUCACUGGGCGUAAAGGGUGCGUAGGCGGUUUGAUAAGUCUGAUGUGAAAUCCCGCAGCUUAACUGCGGAACUGCAUUGGAAACUAUUUGACUAGAGGAAUGGAGGGGAGACUGGAAUACUUGGUGUAGCAGUGAAGUGCGUAGAUAUCAAGUGGAACACCAGUGGCGAAGGCGAGUCUCUGGACAGUUCCUGACACUGAGGCACGAAGGCCAGGGGAGCAAACGGG
rnacentral:rRNA from 1 species